rnacentral:rRNA from 1 species
UGGCGGCGUGCCUAACACAUGCAAGUCGAACGAGAAAGUGGAGCAAUCCAUGAGUAAAGUGGCGACCGGGUGAGUAACACGUGACUAACCUACCUCCGAGUGGGGAAUAACUCCGGGAAACCGGGGCUAAUACCGCAUAACAUCGCGAGAUCAAAGCAGCAAUGCGCUUGGAGAGGGGGUCGCGGCUGAUUAGCUAGUUGGCGGGGUAACGGCCCACCAAGGCGAAGAUCGGUAUCCGGCCUGAGAGGGCGCACGGACACACUGGAACUGAAACACGGUCCAGACUCCUACGGGAGGCAGCAGUGGGGAAUUUUGCGCAAUGGGGGAAACCCUGACGCAGCAACGCCGCGUGGAGGAUGAAGCCCUUUGGGGCGUAAACUCCUUUCGACCAAGACGAUAAUGACGGUACUGGUGGAAGAAGCACCGGCUAACUCUGUGCCAGCAGCCGCGGUAAUACAGAGGGUGCAAGCGUUGUUCGGAAUUAUUGGGCGU